GUCCAGUCGAAGAGUCCCGGAUAGGACGAAAUGCGCAUCUUGGAU
rnacentral:hammerhead_ribozyme from 1 species